rnacentral:lncRNA from 1 species
UUUUUAUUUUUCUUUCAACCAAAUAACCGUAAUGGAAAACUACUUUUUUUUCCUACAAACCAAAUGCUAAAAGCCUAAAAUUUAUUUUUCUCCAAAAAUUUAUUUUCCUCUGAAAAUUUUUUCACUACAACAGAAUUAGGUUAUAUGGACACAUGUUUGGGACACUUUUGAGUAAGUGUCCCAUUUAUGCUAAAAUUUAAAAACACAUCUACUAAUGCCUAAAUAUAAAGCCUAAUUCAACCAAAAAUAAAAGAUUACUCAACUCAACCCACCACACCCAGUCCAUUUGGCCCGAUUACAAACAGAAAAGAAAAAAAAAGAAAAAUCAAUUACCAUCUUUUCUUCUCUCUUCACUCAAUCCACUGAAAUUCUAGACGAAGAGCCUUUACUGUCGUCCUCCUCCGCCACCGCAGCCAACGAGAUAGAGUUUCGGCGGUUGCUAAAUGCAUAAAUAAGUGUUGGUAAAUUAGCAGCACUCUUUUAUGUUAUAGCGACACUCUUUAACUGUCACUAUAUACCUAGCGACCCCACAUAUAGCAACACUUUUUAAAAGUGUAGGUAAUUUUAGCUAACAGCACUUUUUUGACAUGUACCUAUAUUUAAAAGUGUCGUUAUAGACCGUUUUUGUUGUAGUGUUUUUCCACCAAAAUUUUUUUUCCUGCAGUUUUACGAGGAACCAAACAACCCCUUAAUCAUCAUAUUAUUUUAUUUUUAUUUUUUAAAAAAAUAAUGUCAAAUAAAAUAACAAAAUAAAAUUUUUUUAAAACUAUAAAGUGGUACCUUAUUUAAUAACAGAUUUUUACAAUAAAAUAAAAAAAAAUAAAAUAGUUAAGUAUAACUUUUAAAUAAUUAAGCGAUAAAGUAAAAGAACGCAAAAUUAUAUAAUAGUUAAGUGUAAUUUUUUUUAACCAUAAAACAAUAAAAUAAAAAUAUGCUGAAUCAUAGUGGGAUAAAUUAAAGUUCACUCUUUUAAAAUUCUUGUACUUUACACGUAUGUUAAGUCUUUAACUUGAAAAUAUCUGAUUUAUCCCUGCUUUUUUUUUCUUUCUAAAAUACCUCUCAUAUGUUCCACCGUUAUUACAAAAUACUCCCGCAGUUAUCUCCUAUUAAGUUAAUCUGAGUUAAAUGUGAGUUAAAUAUCUACCACAGUUAAAAAAAAUUAAAAUGUCAAUUUUGUCCUUAACUUACGGACAAAUAAGAAAGGUUGGUGAUGGUAGAGGGGUAUAUUGGAAAAAACCAAAAUGCAAAACACUUUUUGUGCCCCUGACUUUAAGGGCAAAUAAGAAAGACAGUGAUAGUGGAAGGGUAUAUUUGAAAAGGCAAAAUAAUAAUUUUACAGAGAUAACAGAGUUACUUAACAGAUUUUAACUCUAAGGGUAUAUUAGAAAUAUGUUGAAAUAUAGGAGGGGUAUUUUUAAUAUUAGCCUUCUAAAAAGGGUAAAUCGAAAAGUCGGAAACUUUUCAGGAAUAUAUAAGCAAUUGCUUCUAUUUCAUAUUAAUAUCAAUAUAAAUUAAUUGUGCUUGAAAAUUUUUGAAAAAGUAAA